AGUGAGAGUUGACUUACAACAAUGGCUUUAGUGGCGGACUGGUGAGUAACACGUAAGCAACCUGCCUAUCAGAGGGGAACAACAGUUAGAAAUGACUGCUAAUACCGCAUAUACCUAAGUAUCGCAUGGUACAAUAGGGAAAGGAGCAAUCUGCUGAUAGAUGGGCUUGCGUCUGAUUAGAUAGUUGGUGGGGUAACGGCCUACCAAGUCAACGAUCAGUAGCCGGACUGAGAGGUUGAACGGCCACAUUGGGACUGAGAUACGGCCCAGACUCCUACGGGAGGCAGCAGUCGGGAAUAUUGCGCAAUGGAGGAAACUCUGACGCAGUGACGCCGCGUGCAGGAAGAAGGUUUUCGGAUUGUAAACUGCUUUAGACAGGGAAGAAUAAAGACAGUACCUGUAGAAUAAGCUCCGGCUAACUACGUGCCAGCAGCCGCGGUAAUACGUAGGGAGCAAGCGUUAUCCGGAUUUAUUGGGUGUAAAGGGUGCGUAGACGGGAAAUUAAGUUAGUUGUGAAAUCCCUCGGCUUAACUGAGGAACUGCAACUAAAACUGGUUUUCUUGAGUGCUGGAGAGGAAAGUGGAAUUCCUAGUGUAGCGGUGAAAUGCGUAGAUAUUAGGAGGAACACCAGUGGCGAAGGCGACUUUCUGGACAGUAACUGACGUUGAGGCACGAAAGUGUGGGGAGCAAACAGGAUUGGAUACCCUGGUAGUCCACACCGUAAACGAUGGAUACUAGGUGUAGGGUGUGAUAAACAUUCUGUGCCGUCGCAAACGCAAUAAGUAUCCCACCUGGGGAGUACGGCCGCAAGGUUGAAACUCAAAGGAAUUGACGGGGGCCCGCACAAGCAGUGGAGUAUGUGGUUUAAUUCGACGCAACGCGAAGAACCUUACCAGGGCUUGACAUAUACAGGAAUAUAUAAGAGAUUAUAUAGCUCUUCGGAGUCUGUAUACAGGUGGUGCAUGGUUGUCGUCAGCUCGUGUCGUGAGAUGUUGGGUUAAGUCCCGCAACGAGCGCAACCCCUGUUCUUAGUUGCCAGCACGUUAAGGUGGGAACUCUAAGAAGACUGCCGGUGAUAAAUCGGAGGAAGGUGGGGACGACGUCAAAUCAUCAUGCCCUUUAUGUCCUGGGCUACACACGUCCUCCAAUGGCUAUUACAGAGGGAAGCAAAGCCGCGAGGUGGAGCAAAACCCAAAAAAGUAGUCUCAGUUCGGAUUGAAGGCUGAAAUUCGCCUUCAUGAAGCCGGAAUUGCUAGUAAUGGCAGGUCAGCAUACUGCCGUGAAUACGUUCCCGGGCCU
rnacentral:rRNA from 1 species